UCUGGAAGGAAUAGUUCACCCAAAAAAUUAAAAUGUAUGCUAUCCAAGGUUGUUUCUUCAUCACUACAGAAAUUUAGCAGUAGAUCACUUGUUUACCAAUGGAUCCUCUGCAGUGAAUGGGUGCCGUCAGAAUGAGAGUCCAAACAGCUGAUUAAAACAUCCACAAGUAAUCAAUUUGAUUCUAGUCUGCAGUAAAAAGCGGUGUGUUUGUGAUAAAUCCAUCGAGACAUUUUUAAACUGCUUCUUCUGGCUAAAAUAUGAGUCCUCUAUUUAUAAUAUUGCGUUCUCCAGUAAAAAAAAAAAAUGUCUCGUCUUAAUCAAGAGAGAAAUAUUCAAAGAUCAGGCACCAUUUAAAAGAAAGAAAAGAAAAGAAAAAAACAUUCCAAAGCAGGUGUUGGCAGAUGUUGAUGUGAUUAUGGAUUUUGGCCAGACGUGACAGUUAAAAUUGAAAAUACCUUAAUGAUAAAUUUGUUUCUUAAAGUACACAGCUUCUUAUUUCAUUAGGUGUCAGUUGAUGGACUGGAGUCAUGUGGAUUACUUGUGAAUUUGGACUUUCAUUCUGAUGGCACCCAUUCCCUGCAGAGGAUCCACUGGUGAGCAAGUAAUGUACUGUAAUGCUACAUUUCUCCAAAUCUAGCGAAACAAACUCAUCUACAUCUUGGAUUGCCUGAAAGUAAGUAAUUUUAAGCACAUUUUCAUUUUUGGUUUAGACAUUUCUUUACAGAAAUCAAUGUGUGGGUGAUUCAAUAAGUACUUUUUAAUAUCAAAUUACAGAUAUGUGGAAUAUUUAUGAAACAAUAACUGAAUGUUUUGGACAGUUCAUUUCUUACUACAAAUAAAAAGUUAAAUAAAAAAUAAAAUAUAAACAUUGAAUGUUUUGUACAGUGUAUCUAUUCCAGUUCUUUACUACAAAAAAAAGGAAAUAAAUAAAUGAAAAAAAAAAAUGUUUGGCAAGAGCCCGUUAAAUAGCUCAUAGUUACAUAAUCACCUGCAUAUAAUUUGUGGUCCAGAAAGUUGUUUUAGAAUCACUAUUGGCAGAGAUCUGUGUUGUGCAGGCAGCUCAGACGGUGCUGGAGAAGUAAAGAAGCAGAAUGCUAUGAAACACACCACUCAGACACAGAGGCAGCAUUUAGAGGACUUGAAGCUCCUCAUAUUGAAGCGACAGAACAGUAGUCCUUUGCCUGACACACAGAAAGGAGAGGAGGAAAAGAAACUGCGAAUUCUUGAAAACAGUUUGGAGAAAUCACAGCUGAAAUACCAUGAAGCAGUGCACAUAACGUGAGGAUACCGCAAGCUGAAGGAGCACCUACAGGCUGAGCUGCAGCUUCAGGAGGAGCAGGUGUACAGAGAGUGCAGAGAAAGAGAGAAGAUCCUCUCCCGCUACAAAAAGCAGGCGGAGGAGAGGAUGAAGAGAAGAGUGAGCAUCAUCUGCUGCAAUUAUAUCUACAGCAACUAUAAGACAGCUAGCAAUGCAAUACUCUAAUUGCAUAAAAUGUGUUACACUCAAUGCACUUCAUGUUGCUAAGCUCACAAGCCAAAUAUUGGCUAAAAUAGGCUUUUUAAUACUUAUAUCUCUUUUUCAAUAUUUAUUGUUGCCUCUGUUUGGCCAAAAGUAAGUAUCUUAGAUCGUUUUUGUCAAGUUUAACCAUUUGUCUAUCUUC